AUGUUGAUGGAGGAUGAUGAUAUUGAGUAUGAUUUUGUGAUACCUACUACUUUUUGUAAUGAUUAUGAUUGGGAAGACAACGAUAUCCCUUAUGAUCUUGAAAAUCUUUUAAGUACUUGCUUGGAAGAAUAUGAUAAUAAUGUUUGCUAUACUAUUGGUGCCAUUCAUGCUACUGAUAAGAAUGAUUGUGAUGAUAUGCAAAACCACAAGCUUGGGGAUGCUAUGUUUAAUGAGUAUGACAUGUUUGAAGAUUUAUUUGCUGGAAAUAAUGCUUGUCCUAAGCUUGGGGAUGCUUUGCUUAAUGAAUAUGAUCCUUUGAUUCCUUCUACAUUCGAUAAGAAAAUUUAUUAUGAUGAUAACAUGCCUCCUAUUUAUGAUGAUUACAUUGAUAAAACUGGGUUUGGAAGAGUGUCAACUCUAGGUAGUAGUGAUCGCACUAUUUUUUAG
rnacentral:rRNA from 1 species